UUUAUAACAACAGAGGAAUGAAUACAACUCAAGGAGCUCAUGAAGAGCAAAGUCACAGAGUACUGGAAAAAUCAAUGCCGACCCAUACUACCAUGGAAGGAGUAACAGGAAACCCUGGGGUUUCUCAGAACUCCCUGACUGUCCUGGGAGAUAUGUCAGACAACUUAAGGCACCCUUUUAGUGAGAAAUUGAAAUGGAGGAAGGAAUGGGAAUGAGCACUGUAAUACCCUGCCUGAAAAACAGAGGAAGGCCCAG